rnacentral:rRNA from 1 species
UACGAAGGGGGCUAGCGUUGCUCGGAAUCACUGGGCGUAAAGGGUGCGUAGGCGGGUCUUUUAAGUCAGGGGUGAAAUCCUGGAGCUCAACUCCAGAACUGCCUUCGAUACUGAGGAUCUUGAGUAUGGGAGAGGUGAGUGGAACUGCGAGUGUAGAGGUGAAAUUCGUAGAUAUUCGCAAGAACACCAGUGGCGAAGGCGGCUCACUGGCCCAUUACUGACGCUGAGGCACGAAAGCGUGGGGAGCAAACAGG